CCUACGGGUGGCAGCAGUGAGGAAUAUUGGUCAAUGGACGAGAGUCUGAACCAGCCAAGUAGCGUGAAGGAUGACUGCCCUAUGGGUUGUAAACUUCUUUUAUAUGGGAAUAAAAUGUUCCACGUGUGGGAUUUUGUAUGUACCAUAUGAAUAAGGAUCGGCUAACUCCGUGCCAGCAGCCGCGGUAAUACGGAGGAUCCGAGCGUUAGCCGGAUUUAUUGGGUUUAAAGGGAGCGUAGGUGGAUUGUUAAGUCAGUUGUGAAAGUUUGUGGCUCAACCGUAAAAUUGCAGUUGAAACUGGCAGUCUUGAGUACAGUAGAGGUGAGCGGAAUUCGUGGUGUAGCGGUGAAAUGCUUAGAUAUCACGAAGAACUCCGAUUGCGAAGGCAGUUCACUGGACUGCAACUGACACUGAGGCUCGAAAGUGUGGGUAUCAAACAGGAUUAGAUACCCGUGUAGUC
rnacentral:rRNA from 1 species